AAUAAACCAAUUUUUUAGUUUUUAUCUUUAAUUUUUGACUCUUCGUCUUAUUUAAAUUUUUUUACGAUUAAUAAUUUUUAUUUUAUUAGAUGAUAAUUUAUGGAUAGUACUUCACGUGUGACUAAUUUUUCUAAAUAAAACAGAUGGUCAAAUGUUGGACAUGGAAACCGAAG
rnacentral:pre_miRNA from 1 species